rnacentral:piRNA from 1 species
UCCGCCAAUGUGUUCCUCUCGACGUCCAGC